ensembl:lncRNA ZRANB2-DT ZRANB2 divergent transcript
GGAGCUGGAAAGGUGGAGGCGGAAGUGACUGAUCAAUUCAGGGGCGUGGGGUUCGUUUAGGUUUUGCCCUGUGUAUGACCUCGUUUGGAGCCAUGAAACCAGGUGGCUUUUCUACAAUAUAAAGAUGGAAAUGGGAAGAAGAUGUUCAUUGCAAAUUAAGGAAGCUCUUCCACGAGUUCACGAAUGGAAAUAACAUCAAGAGUUUUUCAUCUUCUUAGUGUGCAAGAUGUCUGAGGAAUAGUCUUAGUGGAUUAUCCCAAACUUGACACAUUUUUUGCAAAAUGCUAUACAAAAAGAAGAUACAUGCGAUUAUGACAAGAUUCUCCACUUGGUGUGACCAGUCUCAUACAACCCAAGGCUGUGUGUCCAAAGGCAACUGUACUAGCUUUCAUGGUGAAAGAAGAGGGCAAAACUCAACCCGUCUCUUUAGACUUGGGAAGAAUAUGAAAGGACCAGGAGGGACACCUUUCCUAAUAACCUAGCUGAUGGUUCACUUAUUGUAAGCACAUUCUCAAACAAGGUGACAAUUAGGUUCAAAUAUCGUCUUUGAAACACAAAGUAGAUCUUACCCUUUUUAUCCUCUUAUUGCUAGUUUAGCUUCUACUGUUAGAAAGUUGAUUCUUAAUGUAAUAUUUGUCUAAGGGUCUGUUAUAGGAGUCCUAAACAGAUACAUCAGCCAUUUUAUGCUCCUAAAUGCAAGCCAGGAAAGAGCUAGAGAUAAAAGCAAAGAUGUUAAUUUAUGUAAAGUACUUAGCAUGGUUCCUGGCAAGAAUAACAAGUCAAUAAAUGAUAUUAAUAAUAAUACUAAUACUGUAAAUAAUACCUAACAAGGCUAUUUUUCUUAUUAUUUUUAAAAUUCAUACAGUCUCUAAAAUCUUCAGUUACUUGUUCCUCUCACAGUGUUCCAUACUACACCCUGGAGACACUGAUCAAGCAGAGAACUGUGUUUACUUGAUUGUCUGAAACAGCAGGCCGAUAUAGCAGUUGCAAGCAUCUUGAGCAAUUCUAUUCCAUAUAGAGACAUAAGAAACCGAGAGAAAGAGACACAAUACAUAGAAGAUUUUUUGCACCACUUAAGUCGCUUAAAAAUGAGAAAAAGAUAUAUCCAGUCUUCUUUUUUUUAAAAGACCACAUCACAUUUUUAAGAUGUAAUCCCUAGUAAUCAACAUGACAGCCCAGCAGAGCAGAAUCAGGAGUUCUUGCUGAAAUAAUCCUACACACUAACACUUUGUCUAAUGUCAUAAUAACAUCUGAAGAUGCACCUUUUUCUCCAACUAUUGAGCGGCUACUUUCUUUCCUCUUUCCCUCACAGCUGUCUCCCAGGCAGAUGAUUUUAGUAUAAUAUCUGUAAUCACUCCAGAGCUCUUUCCUGAUGUGUACUUUGUUCUCUGAACCCUUUAAAGUUGUAGCCCCUCUGAUUAUUUUGGUCCCAGAGUUUCAUGCCUUUUACACAUUGUUAUUCUAAAUUCCACGAGUCAUUUACUUGCUCAUAAUCCAGGUCUUUCAAGCCUCUUUGAGUUUGCACACUCGGUUCCACACUAUUUGUCUCCAUUUUUGUAUCAUUAGCCAAAUUGACUAAUAUGAAGUCUGCUCAGGAUGGUUCAAAAUGAAAAUAAUGUGCUAGCUGAAGAGUAAAUAUUACUGAGCUAUGAAUGAUGAAGAUUUGCUCAGAAAUUUUGCUUAUGAGUAGUUUGUUAUGAAGCAUACAA